GACGAACGCUGGCGGCGUGCUUAACACAUGCAAGUCGAACGGUGAAGGGAUCAGCUUGCUGGUUCUGGAUGAGUGGCGAACGGGUGAGUAACACGUGAGUAACCUGCCCCCUUCUUCUGGAUAACCGCAUGAAAGUGUGGCUAAUACGGGAUAUUCUGGGUCUGUCGCAUGAUGGGUCUGGGAAAGAUAUUGUUUCGGUGGGGGAUGGGCUCGCGGCCUAUCAGCUUGUUGGUGGGGUGAUGGCCUACCAAGGCGGUGACGGGUAGCCGGCCUGAGAGGGUGGGCGGUCACACUUGGACUGGGACACGGCCCAGACUCCUACGGGAGGCAGCAGUGGGGGAUAAUGCACAAUGGGGGCAAGCCUGAUGCAGCGACGCCGCGUGAGGGAAGGAGGCCUUCGGGGUGUAAACCUCUUUCGCCAGUGAAGCAGGCCUGCUCCUUGUGGGUGGGUUGACGGUAGCUGGAUAAGAAGCGCCGGCUAACUACGUG
rnacentral:rRNA from 1 species